UGGGGAAUAUUGCACAAUGGGCGAAAGCCUGAUGCAGCAACGCCGCGUGAGUGAUGAAGGCCUUCGGGUUGUAAAGCUCUGUCUUUUGGGACGAUAAUGACGGUACCAAAGGAGGAAGCCACGGCUAACUACGUGCCAGCAGCCGCGGUAAUACGUAGGUGGCAAGCGUUGUCCGGAUUUACUGGGCGUAAAGGAUGCGUAGGCGGAUUUUUAAGUGAGAUGUGAAAACCCUAAGCUUAACUUGGGGACUGCAUUUCAUACUGGAAAUCUAGAGUGCGGGAGAGGAGAAUGGAAUUCCUAGUGUAGCGGUGAAAUGCGUAGAGAUUAGGAAGAACACCAGUGGCGAAGGCGAUUCUCUGGACCGUAACUGACGCUGAGGCAUGAAAGCGUGGGUAGCAAACAGGAUUAGAUGCCCUGGUAGUCCACGCCGUAAACGAUGAGUACUAGGUGUAGGAGGUAUCGACCCCUUCUGUGCCGCAGUUAACACAAUAAGUACUCCGCCUGGGAAGUACGAUCGCAAGAUUAAAACUUAAAUGAAUUGACGGGGGUCAUAGCUGUUUUCCU
rnacentral:rRNA from 1 species